rnacentral:lncRNA from 1 species
UUUACUUUUUAAUUUUUGUUUCAUUUGUAGUUUUAGUUCACCAUCACUUGAGCUUAUGCUCGAGUGGUCUUCAAUUGUUCUAUGUCCCAAAUCCUUCCUGUUCUUUGGAAGGUGGUUCUCAAGUUCUUCACGUGCAUUGCACGUCAUUUCAUAUGUGAUCAAUGAACCAAUUAGUUCUUCAAGUGGAAAUUGGUUCAAGUUUUUCGAUUCUUGAAUAGCAGUUACUUUUGAAUCCCAAGUUUUAGAAAGUGAGCGCAAAACUUUUUUAACGAGUUCAAAAUCCGAAAAGCUUUUACCAAGUGAUUUUAAACCAUUGACGACAUCCGUAAAACGGGUGUACAUGUCAACAACGGUUU